rnacentral:rRNA from 1 species
CUGGUUGAUCCUGCCAGUUGCCAUAUGCUUGUCUCAAAGAUUAAGCCAUGCAUGUCCAAGUACAAGCCUCACUAAGGUGAAACCGCGAAUGGCUCAUUAAAUCACACCUGAUACACUGGAUAGUGUCAGUUACUUGGAUAACUGCGGUAAUUUCUGGAGCUAAUACAUGCGUUCAAGCCCCGAACUUGCGUGAGGGGCGCUUUUAUUAGAUCAAAGCCAAACGGCGUCUCGUGCGCCGUCCCCCUGGCGACUCUGAAUAACUUUGUGCUGAUCGCAUGGCCUUGCGCCGGCGACGUAUCUUUCUAAGGUGUGCCCUAUCAACUGUCGACUGUGGCAUAGACGCCCACAGUGGUUUUGACGGGUAACGGGGAAUCAGGGUUCGAUUCCGGAGAGGGAGCCUGAGAAACGGCUACCACUUCUAAGGAAGGCAGCAGGCACGCAAAUUACCCACUGGCCGAAGGCCGAGGUAGUGACGAAAAAUAGCGAUACCGGACUCAUCCGAGGCCCGGUAAUCGGAAUGAGUACACUUUAAAUCCUUUAACGAGGAACCAUUGGAGGGCAAGUCUGGU